GGGUGAAUAGUCUAGUGGUUAGGACGGUUCGUUGUGGUUUCUUCUCCCGAGGGCGUCCAGUUGAUAUCCGAACAAACCCCGGUUCGAUUCCGGGUUCGCCCA